rnacentral:lncRNA from 1 species
CAACAGAGCAAAGGGACCCAGACCUUCUCGUCUAUGGCUAAAAUAAAAAUGUCCAUAUAGCUCUGGAGAAUGCAGGUGUCAACAUACACCCUGGGCUUCGGGAAGAGCACGCUCACAACUUGGAAGAAGAUACCAACCUACCCAGCAAGAACCCAUGAUUAAUAGGCAUCUAGGCAGAAAGAAGCACUACUCACAAAGGCUUUCUCUUCUCUCCAUGAAAAUAAAGAAACUACAAACAGCACUGAUCUAA